rnacentral:lncRNA from 1 species
GAGAAAGUUGUGAAGUAGUUUUGUUGUUGCGCAACCCCCCCCCCCCCACUUUGCAAAAAAACCAAAAAGGUAUAAAAAAUUAUCAUAUAAUGGCAAUCUAUCCUAUUAAUGAUUUCUGCAAAAUUCAGUUGAUUGUGCAAGGGUUGUAUAGCCAGCUGAGGUCGUUAAAAACUCUCUUACUUUUGUUGUUGCAGAUAGAUCUUGACCUGAUAAGCAAUUUUACCACAUGUCAGAUUUGCUCUAAAUGUUUUAGUUUUUGAGUGAUAAGCCAAAAACUGCAUUUUACCCCUAUGUUCUAUUUUUAGCCAUGGCAGCCAUCUUGAUUGGUUGGCCGGGUCACCAGACACAAUUUUUAAACUAGAUACCCCAAUGAUGAUUGUGGCCAAGUUUGGUUUAAUUUGGUCCAGUAGUUUCAGAGGAGAAGAUUUUUGUAAAAGAUAACUAAGAUUUACGAAAAAUGGUUAAAAAUUGACUAUAAAGGGCAAUAACUCCUAAAGGGGUCAACAGACCAUUUUGGUCAUGUUGACUUAUUUGUAGAUCUUACUUUGCUGAACAUUUUUGCUGUUUACAGUUUAUCUCUAUCUAUAAUAAUAUUCAAGAUAAUAACCAAAAACAGCAAAAUUUCCUUAAAAUUACCAAUCAGGGGCAGCAACCUAUCAACGAGUUGUCCAAUUCAUCUCAAAAUUUCAGGGCAGAUAGAUCUUGACCUGAUAAACAAUUUUACUACAUGUCAGAUUUGCUCUAAAUGCUUCGAUUUUUGAGUGAUAAGCCAAAAACUGCGUUUUACCCCUAUGUUCUAUUUUCAGCCAUGGCGGCCAUCUUGGUUGGUUGGCCGGAUCACCAAACACAAUUUUUAAACUAGAUACCCCAAUGAUGAUUGUGGCCAAGUUUGGUUUAAUUUGGUCCAGUAGUUUCAGAGGAGAAGAUUUUUGUAAAAGAUAAUUAAGAUUUACGAAAAAUGGUUAAAAAUUGACUAUAAAGGGCAAUAACUUCUAAAGGGGUCAACAGACCAUUUUGGUCAUGUUGACUUAUUUGUAGAUCUUACUUUGUUGAACAUUUUUGCUGUUCACAGUUUAUCUCUAUCUAUAAUAAUAUUCAAGAUAAUAACC